GAUGAACGCUGGCGGCGUGCCUAAUACAUGCAAGUAGAACGCUGAAGCUUGGUGCUUGCACCGAGCGGAUGAGUUGCGAACGGGUGAGUAACGCGUAGGUAACCUACCUCUAGCGGGGGAUAACUAUUGGAAACGAUAGCUAAUACCGCAUAAAAGUCGACAUUGCAUGAUGUUGACUUGAAAGGUGCAACUGCAUCACUAAGAGAUGGACCUGCGUUGUAUUAGCUAGUUGGUGAGGUAACGGCUCACCAAGGCGACGAUACAUAGCCGACCUGAGAGGGUGAUCGGCCACACUGGGACUGAGACACGGCCCAGACUCCUACGGGAGGCAGCAGUAGGGAAUCUUCGGCAAUGGACGGAAGUCUGACCGAGCAACGCCGCGUGAGUGAAGAAGGUUUUCGGAUCGUAAAGCUCUGUUGUAAGAGAAGAACGAGUGUGAGAGUGGAAAGUUCACACUGUGACGGUAACUUACCAGAAAGGGACGGCUAACUACGUGCCAGCAGCCGCGGUAAUACGUAGGUCCCGAGCGUUAUCCGGAUUUAUUGGGCGUAAAGCGAGCGCAGGCGGUUAGAUAAGUCUGAAGUUAAAGGCUGUGGCUUAACCAUAGUACGCUUUGGAAACUGUUUAACUUGAGUGCAGAAGGGGAGAGUGGAAUUCCAUGUGUAGCGGUGAAAUGCGUAGAUAUAUGGAGGAACACCGGUGGCGAAAGCGGCUCUCUGGUCUGUAACUGACGCUGAGGCUCGAAAGCGUGGGGAGCAAACAGG
rnacentral:rRNA from 1 species